AGUGAACGCUGGCGGUAGGCCUAACACAUGCAAGUCGAACGGCAGCACAGUAAGAGCUUGCUCUUACGGGUGGCGAGUGGCGGACGGGUGAGGAAUACAUCGGAAUCUACUUUUUCGUGGGGGAUAACGUAGGGAAACUUACGCUAAUACCGCAUACGACCUACGGGUGAAAGCAGGGGAUCUUCGGACCUUGCGCGAUUGAAUGAGCCGAUGUCGGAUUAGCUAGUUGGCGGGGUAAGGGCCCACCAAGGCGACGAUCCGUAGCUGGUCUGAGAGGAUGAUCAGCCACACUGGAACUGAGACACGGUCCAGACUCCUACGGGAGGCAGCAGUGGGGAAUAUUGGACAAUGGGCGCAAGCCUGAUCCAGCCAUACCGCGUGGGUGAAGAAGGCCUUCGGGUUGUAAAGCCCUUUUGUUGGGAAAGAAAAGCAGCAGGUUAAUACCCCGCUGUUCUGACGGUACCCAAAGAAUAAGUACCGGCUAACUUCGUG
rnacentral:rRNA from 1 species